rnacentral:rRNA from 1 species
UGGGGAAUUUUGGACAAUGGGCGAAAGCCUGAUCCAGCAAUGCCGCGUGUGUGAAGAAGGCCUUCGGGUUGUAAAGCACUUUUGUCCGGAAAGAAAUGGCUCUGGUUAAUACCUGGGGUCGAUGACGGUACCGGAAGAAUAAGGACCGGCUAACUACGUGCCAGCAGCCGCGGUAAUACGUAGGGUCCAAGCGUUAAUCGGAAUUACUGGGCGUAAAGCGUGCGCAGGCGGUUGUGCAAGACCGAUGUGAAAUCCCCGAGCUUAACUUGGGAAUUGCAUUGGUGACUGCACGGCUAGAGUGUGUCAGAGGGGGGUAGAAUUCCACGUGUAGCAGUGAAAUGCGUAGAGAUGUGGAGGAAUACCGAUGGCGAAGGCAGCCCCCUGGGAUAACACUGACGCUCAUGCACGAAAGCGUGGGGAGCAAACAGGAUUAGAUACCCUGGUAGUCCACGCCCUAAACGAUGUCAACUAGUUGUUGGGGAUUCAUUCCUUAGUAACGUAGCUAACGCGUGAAGUUGACCGCCU